AUUGAACGCUGGCGGCAUGCUUUACACAUGCAAGUCGAACGGUAACAGGCCGCAAGGUGCUGACGAGUGGCGCACGGGUGAGUAAUGCAUCGGAACGUGCCCAGUCGUGGGGGAUAACUACUCGAAAGAGUAGCUAAUACCGCAUACGAUCUAUGGAUGAAAGCGGGGGACCGUAAGGCCUCGCGCGAUUGGAGCGGCCGAUGUCAGAUUAGGUAGUUGGUGGGGUAAAGGCUCACCAAGCCAACGAUCUGUAGCUGGUCUGAGAGGACGACCAGCCACACUGGGACUGAGACACGGCCCAGACUCCUACGGGAGGCAGCAGUGGGGAAUUUUGGACAAUGGGCGCAAGCCUGAUCCAGCAAUGCCGCGUGCAGGAAGAAGGCCUUCGGGUUGUAGACUGCUUUUGUACGGAACGAAACGGCUCUGGUUAAUACCCGGGGCUAAUGACGGUACCGUAAGAAUAAGCACCGGCUAACUACGUG
rnacentral:rRNA from 1 species